rnacentral:rRNA from 1 species
UGGGGAAGUCUUGCGCAAUGGGCGAAGACCUGACGCAGCCAUGCCGCGUGGAUGAUGAGGGUCUUAGGAUUGUAAAAUACUUUCACCGGUGAAGCUGUAGCCGGAGAAGAAGCCCCGGCUAACUUCGUGCCAGCAGCCGCGGUAAUACGAAGGGGGCUAGCGUUGCUCGGAAUUACUGGGGGUAAAGGGCGCGUAGGCGGACAUUUAAGUCAGGGGUGAAAUCCCAGAGCUCAACUCUGGAACUGCCUUUGAUACUGGAUGUCUUGAGUGUGGGAGAGGUAUGUGGAACUCCGAGUGUAGAGGUGAAAUUCGUAGAUAUUCGGAAGAACACCAGUGGCGAAGGCGACAUACUGGAUCAUUACUGACGCUGAGGCUCGAAAG